rnacentral:lncRNA from 1 species
AUUUUCAUCUGGAUGUCUGCUUAUAUAUUGAAAGUAUAUAAUUCUUUCAACAGGUACACGGGAAAACGUCUGUCAAAUAAUACAGCCAUAAAGUAAAAACAAAGACAUCAAGGUAGAAAAGGCCACCCCUCAAAAGACAAUCACCAACAGCAAACACUCACAAAAUAGAGAGGAUGUCAUGGCCAGGCUCGACACCAGCCUUGGCCAAACUGUCUGCUUCCCCAUUCACCGAUCUCGGCACAUGCGAAAUUAACCAUCUCUCAUCGCUAACCAGCCUCGUAAAUGAGAGAAUAAGCUCUUUGAGAACACUCAGGGCUCUGCUAAGACUUUGAAACCAUUCCACUGCAACCUUGCUGUCAGACUCGAUGAUAAGUUUAUGGGACAUACACCAACUCGAAGCCUUAACAUGUUCUGGUGAAGUUAGAUUUUCUAAAUGGAGUGGUAGG